GAGUUUGAUCUUGGCUCAGGACGAACGCUGGCGGCGGGUUUAACACAUGCAAGUCGAGGGACGAAGCCAUCUUCGGGUGGUGGAGACCGGCGAACGGGUGAGUAACACGUGAGGAACCUACCCUCUGCUUCGGGAUAACCCCGGGAAACCGGGGCUAAUACCGGAUGUUCCACGUGGUCUGCAUGGAUCGUGUGGGAAAGCUUUUGCGGCAGGGGAGGGUCUCGCGGCGUAUCAGCUUGUUGGUGGGGUAAUGGCCUACCAAGGCGACGACGCGUAGCUGGAGUGAGAGCUCGAACAGCCACACUGGGACUGAGACACGGCCCAGACUCCUACGGGAGGCAGCAGUGGAGAAUCUUGCGCAAUGGGCGAAAGCCUGACGCAGCGACGCCGCGUGGGGGAUGACGGGUUUCGGCUUGUAAACCCCUGUUGCCGGACGAACUUCUCCUUCGAGGAGAUUGACGGUACCGGGUGAGGAAGCACCGGCUAACUCCGUGCCAGCAGCCGCCGUAAC
rnacentral:rRNA from 1 species